AAAUCCGUCAUUCACAUGCCUGAGAUCUGAUGGGGAGACGUUUUAGUCGAAGUGAGUGAUCCUAUGCUGCCGAGAAAAGCAUCUAGCGAGAUCUAGAGCCGCCCGUACCCCAAACCGACUCAGGUGGUCAGGUAGAGAAUACUAAGGUGAUCGAGUGAACCAUGGUUAAGGAACUCGGCAAAAUGCCCCCGUAACUUCGGGAGAAGGGGGGCCGGAUUCGUUAUCGGACUUGCUCCGAGAAGCGUUGAAGGCCGCAGAGACCAGGCCCAAGCGACUGUUUACUAAAAACACAGGUCCGUGCUAAGUCGAAAGACGCCGUAUACGGACUGACUCCUGCCCGGUGCUGGAAGGUUAAGGGGACGUGUCAGCGCAAGCGAAGCACAGAACUUAAGCCCCAGUAAACGGCGGUGGUAACUAUAACCAUCCUAAGGUAGCGAAAUUCCUUGUCGGGUAAGUUCCGACCUGCACGAAUGGAGUAACGACUUGGGCGCUGUCUCAACCAUGGACUCGGCGAAAUUGCACUACGAGUAAAGAUGCUCGUUACGCGCGGCAGGACGGAAAGACCCCGGGACCUUUACUAUAGUUUGGUAUUGGUGUUUGGUUCAGUUUGUGUAGGAUAGGUGGGAGACUUUGAAGCUUGGACGCCAGUUCAGGUGGAGUCAUCGUUGAAAUACCACUCUGGCUGUACUAGAUAUCUAACCUAGGUCCAUUAUCUGGAUCAGGGACAGUGCCUGAUGGGUAGUUUAACUGGGGCGGUUGCCUCCUAAAAUGUAACGGAGGCGCUCAAAGGUUCCCUCAGCCUGGUUGGCAAUCAGGUUUCGAGUGUAAGUGCACAAGGGAGCUUGACUGUGAGAGUGACAGCUCGAGCAGGGACGAAAGUCGGAACUAGUGAUCCGGCGCUGGCAAGUGGAAGCGGCGUCGCUCAACGGAUAAAAGGUACCCCGGGGAUAACAGGCUGAUCUUCCCCAAGAGUCCAUAUCGACGGGAUGGUUUGGCACCUCGAUGUCGGCUCGUCGCAUCCUGGGGCCGUAGCAGGUCCCAAGGGUUGGGCUGUUCGCCCAUUAAAGCGGCACGCGAGCUGGGUUUAGAACGUCGUGAGACAGUUCGGUCCCUAUCCGCCGCGCGCGUAGGAAACUUGAGAAAAUCUGUCCCUAGUACGAGAGGACCGGGAUGGACGAACCUCUGGUGUGCCAGUUGUUCUGCCAAGAGCACCGCUGGUUAGCUACGUUCGGAAGCGAUAACCGCUGAAAGCAUCUAAGCGGGAAGCGUGUUUCAAGAUGAGGUUUCCCACUGGUUUACCAGGUAAGGCCCCCAGCAGACCACUGGGUUGAUAGGCCGGAGGUGGAAGUGCAGCAAUGCAUGGAGCCGACCGGUACUAAUAGGCCGAGGGCUUGUUUG
rnacentral:rRNA from 1 species